rnacentral:rRNA from 1 species
GAUGAACGCUGGCGGCGUGCCUAAUACAUGCAAGUCGAGCGAACAGACGAGGAGCUUGCUCCUCUGACGUUAGCGGCGGACGGGUGAGUAGCACGUGGAUAACCUACCUAUAAGACUGGGAUAACUUCGGGAAACCGGAGCUAAUACCGGAUAAUAUAUUGAACCGCAUGGUUCAAUAGUGAAAGACGGUUUUGCUGUCACUUAUAGAUGGAUCCGCACCGCAUUAGCUAGUUGGUAAGGUAACGGCUUACCAAGGCAACGAUGCGUAGCCGACCUGAGAGGGUGAUCGGCCACACUGGAACUGAGACACGGUCCAGACUCCUACGGGAGGCAGCAGUAGGGAAUCUUCCGCAAUGGGCGAAAGCUUGACGGAGCAACGCCGCGUGAGUGAUGAAGGUCUUCGGAUCGUAAAACUCUGUUAUUAGGGAAGAACAAAUGUGUAAGUAACUAUGCACGUCUUGACGGUACCUAAUCAGAAAGCCACGGCUAACUACGUG